CAGCCUCUGUCAGUCGGGGGGGGGGGGGAGGGGCGGGGCAGGAGGGCAAGGCAGAGAGAGAAAACGUUCGCCCUGAGCUUCUGGGCCGUGAUUGGGAAUCUUCCUUUCCUUGGUGGUGACAACCCUUCUGGAGACACAGGACCUUUCCUACCGGUCUCCAAACUGAGGCACAAACCCCAUGGGGACUCUUAGGAGAAACAGUGAUUUAUUUACUAACUGACUAGUCACUAAGAUGAGCACAAUGAAGUGGAGGCCGUGAACUCCAGUGCCUUCAAGGCCCAGGCGGGUGGCGAGGAUGAACGUGGUGGCCGGCUGGGACCGUGACCAACGGGAGAGCCACGCCCUGCUGGAGCUGAUGGUUGGCUCCAGCCACUGCCGCUUCUGUGAGAGCUGGCGCCUGCUGCCAGAUGGUGUGCUUUUCCAGAAGAAGUCUAGAUUUUUGUGUGAAAAUUCUCAAUCCUUAAAGGUCAACUCAGAAUGUUUCAAGGUGGUUGGGGUCUGUCCGAGCCUAGAGCUGCCAGUCUCGGCUUGAUGCAGUCUUGCACAUUAAGGACUUAGGGAAAGCCGCCUGACCUAUUUGGUGCUCACGCGCUGCGUUUGAAUCUCUCAGCCGAGUUGGAGCCAUGAAGCGUCUCUUUCUUCCUGGGAAAGUACUGAGAAUCCUCCACCUGGGACUUGAGGCUAGAUCUGCACAGUGGGCCACAUUUCCUGUGCCAGAAGACAGCAGGGAGCUCUCCGGGGCUCCCCCGGCCUCUCUCUUCUCCUCUAACCCUGGCCUUGCUUGCUGCUUUGAGCCAGCCUUGUGGGCUGAGUUUGCUCCUCCUAAAGACCAGCUUCACUUGUGGGGGAUGGGCUUUCCCUGUCUAGCCCUGUGGUGCCCCCUCAGCCCCACCCCCACUUCCUUCCAGAACCCAGCAGGGCUGUGCAAGACUUGGCCUCCGAGGGGAGGUGUGGGGUGGGAGCGGGGAGCCUGCUUUAUCUUUUGCUUUUUCCAAACUUGAACAACUACUUUCGGCAGAAUGGUGCUUUGUGAGCGAGAUGUGAAAUAGGAAGGGAGUGGGGUGGGUGGGAGGACGGUGGCUAAUGGUACUUCUCCCUGAAUGUGCGGCUUAAACUUCCCCAAAUUACAAGACCCAGGGGCACAAUAGCUCCUUAGCUGGGCCUAGCCUGACACCUAAUUCUUAAGCUUUUCAUGUCCAGGAAAGUUCUGGAACCUUUGUAUUCUUGCCAGUACUAGAUCUGAGAGAUCUCUCUCUUGUUUAAUUACCCUCUAUAUGGAUGACAAUACUGAGGCUCAGGAUAAUACCAUGAUGCCUACUUUCUACGGAGUUUUGAGGUGCUAAGUGUGUCUGAGUCUGUGCGUGUGUGGCUGUGUCUCUGUGUGUGAUCUAAGGGACAAGUAAGGGUGCAGGAGACAGUGAGAACAAUCCCUGGGAUGAUGCUUACCCUUCCAACCGGCUGAUAGCGAGCUGCCCCCUCCACGGCGGACGCAGCCUGCCUUCCCACUCUGCCUCCAUGUCCCACACGUGCUCACACCUGUCCCGGUGCUGGCUCCUAAGAACCACACUGGACAAGGCAUUUUUGACCAUCUCCCCCAGUGUCACUUCCUCUUUAACAGGACGUGGUACAAAGCUCUUCUGCAGUCCUGUCUCUCCAUGAUGAGGACACGGACCCCGCACUCUCUCUCCUCUGGUGAACCCACGGCAGCUGGCGUGACCCACGGGCUGAAGGACUGGGCAGUUUUGCUUGGGUCUGGCCUAGAGUGUAGAGGAAGUUAGGGGUGACUAACCCGAACCAGAGAGUAUUACUUGGUUUACGCAGCCUGGGGGCCAUAGGAUGGGAACGCACUGUUCUCAGAUCCCAGCAGAGAAGGGCUGCAUGUCUUGGGGGCUGGAAGCCUUCAGGGAGAGGCCCCAGGUGGGACAUUCCCACGGGGACCUGUCUUCUGCUGGAGGGAGAGACGCCCUCUGGGAAAUGCAGGCAGUGUGGCCAUGGCCCCAUAUAUCAUACUCAGCGCCCUGGGCCAUGUGUCCGCAGAGUCCUGUAGGAGUAGAUGGUCUCAGAGGUCUCUGUCCAAGGAUUGCCGUGUUCGCCAGGCUCUGAGAAACUGCAAAUCUCCAUGGAGCUGGGGACCCGUGGGAGAGCCAGCUUAGCAAUAGUCCUGAGCUUCCAGAGCUAGUGUCCGUGUCUGAGGGGCUCCAACAGCCGGGGGGGCUGUGGAGGUCUUCUAGCUGAGGUUUUGUGACUCCGAGGGCCUCUCUGUCUGCGGCUCCAGAAAAUCAGCCAAGGGGCCUGAGAGUCACUUCGUGUUCACGGGGAGACGUGUGCUAGAGUUUGGGACCUGGCUCUCUGCUCUUCUCCUUUUGGAAAACCCAUGGAAUUUCACAUAUAAGCCUUUCAUUUGUAUCUUAAGAGUUUUGGUUUAUUUGUUUAUUUGGGGUAUAUAAAUGGUGCUCAAUAGCGAAGCCUUUCUCAGAUGAAGUGUUAUGACUGUGUGCUCCUGUGUGACAGGCAGCCGCCACAGGCAUCAUCACGGUGCUGAACUCACAUUUUAUCCUCCGAUCACAGCAAUCAGUGCAUUUGUUUUCUGUGUAGUGAAAGUUGGCUCCUAGAUUUUGUAACUUAUUAAAGUCACUGUCUAUGUCUGCACAUCAUGCCUCGUCUGUUUGUUACCCGGACUGGGCUGCCCCUCAGCCCCAGCCUGGACGUGGGCAGGCGGGAGGAUGCACUGCGGUCGCAAGGCCAAGAGGUUUGGGGGCCACGGCGGGCACAGAGCCACGGCUGCUCCAGGCAGGACCCUGGGAAGGGCAAGAGGCACCCGAGGGACCGAACUCGCCCCGGCUCCUGGGAAGCCGGCCGUCCAGGCGACACAACUUAGCCAGCAGUUCCCAAGUGAACCUCCUGCCUGAUCACAGCCACCUCUCCUAUAAUGAGGGUUUCCAGAAAAAAUACUAGAUGCUGGGUGAAAUGUGAAUUCCAG
ensembl:lncRNA